UUUUAUGAGAGUUUGAUCCUGGCUCAGGACGAACGCUGGCGGCGUGCCUAAUACAUGCAAGUAGAACGCUGAAGUCUGGUGCUUGCACUAGACGGAUGAGUUGCGAACGGGUGAGUAACGCGUAGGUAACCUGCCUCAUAGCGGGGGAUAACUAUUGAAAACGAUAGCUAAUACCGCAUAACAGUAUUUACCGCAUGGUAGAUGCUUGAAAGGAGCAACUGCUUCACUAUGAGAUGGACCUGCGUUGUAUUAGCUAGUUGGUGAGGUAACGGCUCACCAAGGCAUCGAUACAUAGCCGACCUGAGAGGG
rnacentral:rRNA from 1 species